rnacentral:rRNA from 1 species
UACGAAGGGGGCUAGCGUUGCUCGGAAUCACUGGGCGUAAAGGGUGCGUAGGCGGGUCUUUAAGUCAGGGGUGAAAUCCUGGAGCUCAACUCCAGAACUGCCUUUGAUACUGAAGAUCUUGAGUUCGGGAGAGGUGAGUGGAACUGCGAGUGUAGAGGUGAAAAUUCGUAGAUAUUCGCAAGAACACCAGUGGCGAAGGCGGCUCACUGGCCCGAUACUGACGCUGAGGCACGAAAGCG